AUGAAGUACGUCUCCGGGCCCUACUUCGAGCCUGACUUCGAUCCGGUCCUCGACCGCCUCGGCACCCCAGGGGUCGUCGUCGACAAUGAGACGCGCGAGGACUGCUCGCUCGUCAAGGUGGACAGCGUGAACCGGGACGGCGUGCUGCUGGAGAUGGUGCAGCUGCUCACCGAUCUCGACCUCGUCAUCUACAAGUCCUACAUCUCCUCCGACGGCGGCUGGCUCAUGGACGUGUUCCACGUGACGGACCAGAUCGGGCGCAAGCUGACGGACCCGUCGCUCCCGGGCUUCAUCCAGCGGGCGCUCCUGCCGUUCCAGCGCUCCGGCUCGCCCAAGUUCACCACCUGCCUCGGCAACGUCGUCGGCCCCGGCGGCCCCGACGUGUCGGACUGCGCCUCGCUCGAGUUCACCGUGCACGACCGCCCCGGCCUGCUCUCCUCCAUCACCCAGGUGCUCGUCGACCAGGGCUGCCACGUCGCGUCCGGCCAGGCCUGGACGCACAACGGCCGCGCCGCCGGGGUGCUCUACGUCACCACCACCGGCGCCGACACCGCCGCCGCGCCGCUGCACCCGAGCCGCUGGGCGCGCAUCGAGCGGCUCGUCAACGCCGUGGUGGACGCGCGCGAGAACCUGUCGGGCGAGCGGCGCUGGGUGUGCAUGUCGGCGCCCGUGCGGGGCCGCGUCCACACGGAGCGCCGGAUGCACCAGCUCAUGCACGACGACCGCGACUAUGAGUCGGGCCCCGCCCCGACGCCCGUCGACGAGGAGCACUUCUGCAUGGGCGACCGGGCGGCCACCGCGGCCCGGUCCGCGCACCGCACCCAGACGCGCGUCACCAUCGACAACUGGGAGGAGCGGGGCUACGCCAUCGUCAAGAUGACGAGCAGGGACCGCCCCAAGCUGCUCUUCGACACCGUCUGCGCGCUCACCGACAUGCACUACGUCGUCUUCCAUGCCACCGUCGGGGCACAGGGCCCUCUCGCCAUCCAGGAGUACUACAUCCGGCACAAGGACGGGCGCACGGUGGACAGCGACGCCGAGCGGCAGAAGGUCUCCCGGUGCCUCGUCGCCGCGGUGGAGCGGAGGGCGUCUCAUGGCGUGAGGGUGGAGGUGCGCGCGCCGGACCGGUCGGGGCUGCUGUCGGACUUCACCAGGAUGCUGCGGGAGCACGGGCUGUCGCUGCUGAGGGUGGAGAUCAAGCGGCAGAAGGAGGAGGCCAUCGGGACCUUCUUCCUCGUCACCGACACCGGCGGCGAGGUGCGGCCCGAGGCGCUGUGCGCGGUGCGGACGAGGGUCGCCGAGAUGGGCAUCUCGCUCGACGUCGCCAAAGGAGCGCCUGGCUGGCCGCCGGUGAAGAAGACGAGAGCGCCGGCUGCGUCGCUCGCCGAUCAGGAGAGGCCCAGGUCCUCCCUGGGGAGCCUCCUGUGGUCGCACCUUGGGAAGCUCUCGAAUAACUUUGGCCUCAUCAGGUCUUGA
rnacentral:rRNA from 1 species